rnacentral:rRNA from 1 species
AGACGUGCGCGCAAGGGCGGGCGCCCGCGGGCGAGCAGCGUGACGCAGCGACGGCCCGCCCGGGCUUCCGGGGCAUCACCCGGUCGGCGCGGUCGCGGCGCGCCGAGGGCCCGACGCCUGGCGGAGAAUCAGGGUUCGACUCCGGAGAGCGGGCCUGAGAGACGGCCCGCACAUCCAAGGACGGCAGCAGGCGCGGAACUUGCCCAAUGCGCGGCGCGCGAGGCAGCGACGGGGAGUGCGCGAGCGAGGCGGGCCCACAGCCCCCGCCGCGGAGCC